AUACGUAGGUGACAAGCGUUAUCCGGAUUUACUGGGCGUAAAGGGCGUGUAGGCGGUCUUGCAAGUCAGAAGUGAAAUUCCUGAGCUCAACUCGGGCGCUGCUUCUGAAACUGCAGGACUUGAGUGCUGGAGGGGAUAGCGGAAUUCCUAGUGGAGCGGUAAAAUGCGCAGAUAUUAGGAAGAACACCGGUGGCGAAGGCGCCUAUCUGGGCAAUAACUGAAGUUGAGGGUCGAACGCGUGGAGAGAAAUCGGUAUUAAAUACCCUAGUAGUCCACGCCGUAAACGAUGAAUACUAGGUGUAGGGGGUAUCGACUCCCUCUGUGCCGCAGUUAACACAAUAAGUAUUCCGCCUGGCGAGUACGGCCGCAAGGUUGAAGCUCAAAGGAAUUGACGUGG
rnacentral:rRNA from 1 species